CCCUUAGAUGUUCUGGGCUGCACGCGUGCUACAAUGGCGCUUGCAACAAGAUUGCCAACCCGAAAGGGUGAGCGGAUCUUUGAAGUGGCGUCGUGAUCGGGACAGUUGAUUGCAAUUAUUCGACUCGAACGAGGAAUUCCUUGUAAUCGCGAUUCAUCAUAUCGCGCUGAAUACGUCCCUGCCCUUUGUACACACCGCCCGUCGCUCCUACCGAUUGAGCGAUCCGGUGAAUGUUUUGGACUGGUGUCCGCAAGCGUUUCGCUUCGGACGCCACGAAAUUUUGUAAACCUUAUCGCUUAGAGGAAGGAAAAGUCGUAACA
rnacentral:rRNA from 1 species